rfam:Aureococcus anophagefferens unplaced genomic scaffold ATRANscaffold_4, whole genome shotgun sequence.
UCACCCGUAGCUCAGUUGGUUAGAGCAUCAGACUGUUAAUCUGGGUGUCGACGGUUCGACCCCGUCCGGGUGAG